CGAAUGUAAAGGUAGUUUCAUCAUUUCAAUCCAUUUCAUGUAGUAAAUAUGUAUGAAGCCAUGGUAAUAGUUGUUGCACGUGUCAUUGAAAUACUGCUUCAAGAUAAGUGACGAAGCUUCCAUUUUACUUUUCAAGUUUUUGCUUUUGGGGUUUCUGCAUUGGAUGUGCAAAUCAGUUUAAAUUUUUCAUUGCUUUCUCUCAUCAUCUUCUUCAAGAAGGCUUCUUAAUUGGCAGUUUCUCCUGAUUUUGACAUAAAAAAGAUUGGUAUAAGCUCCUUAUACAGGAAGGAUCCUUAAUUGGCAGUUUCUCCUGAUUUUGACAUAAAAAAGAUUGGUAUAAGCUCCUUAUACAGGAAGGAUCCUUAAUUGGCAGUUUCUCCUGAUUUUGACAUCAAAGGAUUGGUAUAAGCUGCAUUACCUCGCUGACUCCCAUUCACGUCAGGUGAUUUGAUUUUACCCUGGUGUUAACUAUCAGCAGGUGACAGAGAAGGUGGAGCAAAAAUGACGGGAAGUAUGCAACUAAUACGUGAGUUCUAUGUUCUCUCAACCGCUGCAUCGCAUAUGAGGUUAUUGUUUCGUAGUAUUUUCCCACUUUGGGUUUUAAGUGGGAAUAGUUAUUUUAGCCAUCAUAUCAGUAUGAUUUACAAGUUGAAUGGCUUAAUCUAUCUGGAGGUGCGUCUGCGGUACUGAAUUUUCUGUUUAACAUAUCCAAAGAGUAUUCUUCUGAAGGGAUUUACUUAUUUACUUAUGUUUCCUCGGAGAUUCUGUCGUUUUAUGCUAAAUAUCAACAAUUAAGGGGCCAUUGACUGAAGAGGUGCCACUGACUGAAGGUGCUUUAUUCUAUGAUAUCACCUUUAUGUGAUUCUGUUCUCGUGCAGACCUUGAACACAAGACUCCUGUACUCUUCUCAGAGUAGAUAGAUUUUCGGGAUUUUCAUUUUUCCCCAGUUAAAUUCAUGUCGAAGUAAGCAUUUUGGUGUUUUAUUCAGUCACUGAGUUAAUGGUUAAGACAUCAUAUAUUUCUACUAUUCCAUGAGGUUGUUCCUGGGAAUAAGCAACUAUUUCGUGGUAUGAAGAAGUUUAUACGUAAAUGCUGAUUUUUUGUUAGUUUGAAUCGAUAAUUAAGCUUCAAGAAUGGAUGCUCCUAUGAAGAAACCUCAGGAUAAUGGACAGAAAACCAUAAUCAGUGAUGACCUUUUUGGCUAAGAGGCUAAAAAACCAGGAGCGUCAACAAAGAUGCUGAUACAACGGAGGUGCUGGGCACAAACCAACUAGCUUCAUUACCGGUGGAUGUGCCUGUAAUUGUUGCUCCUCAGGAUAGUGCACAGCCAGUGAAUGUUGCUCCUCUGGACUCUUUGACUUCAGUAACUGUCACUCCGCUGGACUCCUCAAUGCCAAUGAAUGUUGCUCCUCUGGAUUCUUCGGUUCCAGUAAAAGUAGAGUCUUCAAUCCAGUGAAUGUCGCUCCCCGGGCAUAUGUAAUGCCAACGGAUGUUGCUUCUAGAGAAUGUGUGAUGACAGUGCGUGCUGCUCCUCGGGAAUCUGUCACCCGUAUUUACUAUGCGUGAAAUUGGAAAAGGGAUGCCCAAAAUGCCCAUGCAGUGAGACAGAAUGAAGUUAGUACUAGUGGUACAGUUUCGCCAGAGUUACUUCAACUGGUGGAAGUCAAGUACCAUCGUUAUCCCGAGUUGAAUAGUCGGAUGUAGCGUUGGGUAAUGUGCUUGCUUCACCUAUGACUGCAUGGAAAAAUAAUAUGGAUAUAUGAAUUCUUGUAUGAAUUGCAAAAAAAAUAGUAAAUCUCUGGUUGCUUUUUGUAUUGAUAUUCAGAUA